rnacentral:lncRNA from 1 species
CAGAAUUGAAUUGUACACUGAGGUCAUCAUCUCCUGCCUAGAAGUCUUAUCAUUGUCCCUAGCAAUGGAACUGCUCAUGAAAUAUUCAGAAAGGGCCCACACUAAACUAGGCAUGACUCCAGAAUCUGUAAGCUGUGCACUUGCUUUGGAUUGAGGGAGAAGAAACAAGACAACUCCAAGCACAUCCUCUUCUGCAUGCUUUUUCCAGAUGCCCCUAUGAGCUGUGUGCCAUGUGCAAAACACAGUGCUCCAUCAGAGAGAAGUUCACAUACUAUGGACUAAAUGUUUGUGCUCCCAAGAUUCAUAUGCUGAAGACCUUAACCCCACUGUGAUGAUAUUUGGAGAUAUAUCUUGGAAAUAAUGAGGAUGAGAUGAGGACAUAAAGGUAGGGCCCUCAUAAGAAGAGAAACCAGAACACCAGAGCAUUCUCUCUCUCAGCCUCUUCCCCCUUGAUUCUCCAUGCAUCAAGAAAAGGUCAUGUGAGCACACAGCAAGAAGACAACCCCCUAUCAGCCAACAACCAAACCCCGCCAGACCUUGAUCACAGAUGUUGCAACUUCCAGAACUGUAAGAAAAUAAAUUCCUGCUGUGUCAACCACCCAGUCUAUGGUUUUAUGCUUUGGCAGUUCCAGCUGACAAAUAUAAUGAUGGAUUAUGUAUUAACAAACUAUUAUUUUAAUGUAAUGAUGAAUUUUAAACCUAUAUAAUGACCAAUGAAGUCAUCAGUAGCUAAAUAGAAAGAAGAAAUAUGACCAUAGUAAGUAAGAGCACAAGAUUUCAUAGUCCUG